AGGAAUGUGGGUGGUGUUUCUGGCUGCUCAAAGGGAGCUGAAGCACCAUGGACAGCUCAGUGCUGGCAGGGACCAGGGCAGUGAGAAAGAGCUCCUGGCUCACUGCUCUGCCUGAACACAGGAGAGCCCUGAGGUGACACAAGAAGUGAUGGAAGCCCUGCACCUCCAUUUGGACAGACUGCAGCUCCCAGCUGCAUUUCCAGCCAUCCUGCUGCAUGGAGGACUUUGAUUUGGGUUUUCUUGUGUAUCUGAAACUGGGAAUCCCUGUCCUAGAGGCUGCUUAAAGAGCCUGCAGGGCUGCAUGAUGGGUCUCUGGGAGCAGAUGAGCCCCUGGCAGCCUUGUGGGGGGAGAUGUUACUUAUGGAGCUGCAGACACCUGUAGAAGCCCCCGGCAGCUUCAGCCUGCUAGGCUGGAUUUCAGACAAUGGCUGUUUGUUUUAGUCCUCCCUUUGACAAUACUCUGUGAAGUCUGCCUGAGUCCUGGACCCAUGCUAAUGAGUCUGCACUGGGAGAAGGAUGGAAUUGUUCCCUACCUUUUCUAAACAAAUGCUUGCUGUUCUGCCUUGCUCAGCUCAGCUGCUGUAGCUGGAAUUGAUUGAAGCUGUGAAGCAGUACAGAAAUAAUCAGGUCUCUUCUAUUCUAGGCAGGGUCUUAUACUGUCCUCAUUGCAGUAGUGUUUGAGUGUCUUCCAGGAGUGCAUUAAACACUAGCUGCCCUGCGUCUCUCUCUUCAGGGGAGAAGCAUGUGCUGGAAUUCUUGUCCUACUAGCAACACAUGUGUUGCUCUGUUUGUUCGAGAGGAUAGGCCUGAGCAACAUGCCUGGCACUCUGAGUGGAAAGUGGGGAGGUUUGUGCUGGCCUCCUAGGGGAGCCCAUUCCACUGUGCAAGUCCUGUCUCCUGUCAGACUCUCCCUGCCAAGACUAGGCUGCCAGGCCUGGAAAGGGGGAAGGAACCCCAGGGCUCUGACAGCAGGAGGGCAGGGUGAGGAUGUUACAGGCAGUCAAGGCUGAUUUCCCUCUCUGGCACUUCGAGUGUCGAAGGUGGGGGCCUGCAAGGAUUUUAAAAAUUAAUACUGGCCACUCCAGGCUGGUAUUAAACUCCCAAGGUUACAGCUCUUCUCUGGCCUUGAUGGGUAGAUGCUGCCACCACCCAAAUACAAAAAACCCUUUGGACCCAGGAAGGAGCACUUGGGAAUUCCUCCUUGUGGGUAUCCUCAAUCCCUUUCACCCCUCCCUCCAGGAAGAGCUGACAAAGAAAACAAAGGAAAUUAGCUGUUGCCCCCAGAUAAUUAAACAUAUGCACAAAUCUCUUCAGAUACCAAAAAUCCAAUCCUGUUCUUAAAGGUGUAUUUUUU